rnacentral:rRNA from 1 species
UACAGAGGUCUCGAGCGUUAGGCGGAAUCACUGGGCUUAAAGCGUGUGUAGGCGGGUGCCUAAGUACCUUGUGAAAUCCCCCGGCUCAACCGGGGAACGGCUGGGUAUACUGGGUGCCUUGGGUCAUCUAGGGGCUGCCGGAACAAAUGGUGGAGCGGUGAAAUGCGUAGAUAUCAUUUGGAACGCCAACGGCGAAAGCAGGCAGCUGGGGAUGCACCGACGCUGAGACACGAAAGCCAGGGGAGCGAACGGG